rnacentral:rRNA from 1 species
AGCGGCCGCGGUAAUUCCAGCUCCAAUAGCGUAUAUUAAAGUUGUUGCAGUUAAAAAGCCCGUAGUUGAAUUUCGGGGUUAGCAGGUCGGUCGUGCCAUCGGUAUGAACUGGUCUCGCUGAUCCCUCCCUCUUGACGAACUGUGAUGCCAUUAAUUUGGUGUCGCAGGGAAUCAGGACUGUUACUUUGAAAAAUUAGAGUGUUUAAAGCAGGCUCACGCUUGAAUACAUUAGCAUGGAAUAAUGAAAUAGGACGUUCGAUCCUAUUUUGUUGGUUUCUAGGAUUGACGUAAUGAUUAAUAGGGAUAGUUGGGGGCAUUAGUAUUCAAUUGUCAGAGGUGAAAUUCUUGGAUUUAUUGAAGACUAACUACUGCGAAAGCAUUUGCCAAGGAUGUUUUCAUUAAUCAAGAACGAAAGUUAGGGGAUCGAAGACGAUCAGAUACCGUCGUAGUCUUAACCAUAAACUAUGCCGACUAGGGAUCGGAUGAUGUUAAUUUUUUAAUGUACUCAUUUCGGCGUACC